GGGAAGAGACAAUUCGAGAAAUUUGCGGGACCGUUGAUUUAAUUUUUCUAAAUUACUUUGACGGAAACCAAUUCUAAUCUGCAGUGGCGUUGAACCGAUGCAAAAGU
rnacentral:rRNA from 1 species